rnacentral:rRNA from 1 species
UACGUAGGGGGCUAGCGUUGUCCGGAAUCAUUGGGCGUAAAGAGCGUGUAGGCGGUCCGGUAAGUCCGCUGUGAAAGUCGGGGGCUCAACCCUCGAAUGCCGGUGGAUACUGUCGGGCUCGAAUCCGGAAGAGGUGAGUGGAAUUCCUGGUGUAGCGGUGAAAUGCGUAGAGAUCGGAAAGAACACCAAUGGCGAAAGCACUCUGCUGGGCCGACACUGACACUGAGAGACGAAAGCUAGGGGAGCAAAUGGG